rnacentral:rRNA from 1 species
UACGUAGGGUGCGAGCGUUAAUCGGAAUUACUGGGCGUAAAGCGUGCACAGGCGGUGAUGUAAGACAGAUGUGAAAUCCCCGGCGUCACCUCGGACGUANCAUUUGUUGACUGCAUCGCUGGAGUGCGGCAGAGGGGAGUGAAUUCCGCGUGUAGCAGUGAAAUAGCGUAGAUAUGCGGAGGAACACCGAUGGCGAAGGCAAU